rnacentral:rRNA from 1 species
AUACGUAGGGAGCGAGCGUUGUCCGGAAUUACUGGGCGUAAAGGGCGCGUAGGCGGCGCUUCAAGUCGUCUGUCAAAUGGGAGGGCUUAACCCUUUUUCGCAGACGAAACUGUGGCGCUGGAGAAGCAGAGAGGCAAACAGAAUUCCUGGUGUAGCGGUGAAAUGCGUAGAUAUCAGGAAGAAUACCAGUGGCGAAGGCGGUUUGCUGGCUGCAUACUGACGCUGAAGCGCGAAAGCCAGGGGAGCAAACGGGAUUAGAUACCCCGGUAGUCCUGGCAGUAAACGAUGUAUGCUGGGUGUGGGAGUAGCGAUACCUCCGUGCCGAAGUUAACGCGAUAAGCAUACCGCCUGGGGAGUACGGUCGCAAGAUUGAAACUCAAAUGAAUUGACGGGG